rnacentral:rRNA from 1 species
GUUCUUAAAUAUGAAUAAUUUAAAAAGUUAUCAAAGGAAAUCUUGAUAGAAAAAUAAAGACGUCGCGCGACGAAACAUCAUAGAAAGGCACUUGCUUAUGAACUAUGAGUUUCUUUAAGAAAACUCGCAUUUAAUAUGCUUUUAUACAUUUAUGUGAAUUGAAUCAUCUUAGUAACAUAUUAAAAAAUCAAACGAGAAUUUGUAAGUAACGGUGAGUGAAAGCGAAUCUAGCUGUGUGCUGAAACCCAAAGAAGGUAAUUAAGUCCUUUAUAGCAUUAAUAAUAAUACAAAGUAGUAUGAUUAAUUUUGUACGAAAAUAGGAGUACCAUCUUCUAAGCUAGAAAUUUUUCUAAUCGAUAGUGAACGAGUACUGUGAAGGAAAGAUUUGAAUUUGCUAAUUUAUAUUUAUUUGAAGCUAAUAUAUAUAGCAACAAAGUGCCUUUUGCAUAAUGAGUCAGUAAGUUAAUAUAUGUAGCAAGCUUAAAAGUAUUAAGGCAUUAAAAGUUACAUGUAUUAGACCCGAAGCCAAGUGAUCUAUUUUUAAGCAAGCUGAAGAUGUUUUAAAACGCAUUGAAGGGCUGAACCCACGUCUGUUGAAAAAUACGGGGAUGACUUAAGAAUAGGGGUGAAAGUCCAAUCAAACUUGGUGAUAGCUGGUUUUCCGCGAAAACUAUCAAAGUAGUACGUUGCUUUUAAAAAAUGUGGGUAGAGCUACUUAUUAAACUUAGAUUUUGCUAUGUUUUAUUAAACUCCAAACUAUAUUUUUUCUAAGCAGCAGACAGUCAUUAGGCGAUAAGGUCUAAUGUCAAAAGGGAAACAACCCUAAUCGGUAGCUAAGAUCUCAAAAUUAUGAAUUAGUGAAAAAAUGAAAAAUAAUUCGAAUAAACAGAGUAGGCUUAGAAGCAGCCAUCUAUUGGAGAAAGCGUUUUAGCUCAUUAUUUUUAUUUAUCUUGUUCAUUUAUAAUGUAAAGAGGCUUAAAUUUAUAUAUCGAAGCACCGAAUUAAGUUAUAUUUAGCUUAGUGGUAGCGGAACGUCCUGUAGUCUUUUAUGUUAAUGUUAAAUUGCAUAUUAAAAAUCAGGAGUGCUAAUGCUGACAUGAGUAGCGUCAAUCAUGUUGAAAACAAAUCAUGAUCGUCUAUUGUUCAAGGGUUUUCAGUAAAUUUUAAGUAACUGAAUUUAGUCGGCCCUUAAAAAAAAAGCGAAAGCUGUAUUUGAUAGGAAAGUUGGUCCACAUGUCUGCAAAACAUUCUUUUGUUUUGUGUAAAAAAUCAAUAUUUUUAAAUUCUGCUCAGUAAACUAGCAACUUUAAGAAAUUGUUUUUCAGGAAAACUUACAUGAAGUUUGACCGUACCUAAAACCGACACAGGUGAACUUAUUGAAAAGAUAAAGACGAGUGAGCGAAUUAUACUUAAGGAACUCGGCAAAUUUGCUCUGUACGUUCGCAAAAAAGAGCACCUUAAAGGUUUCAAGAAUUAGGGGUAGCGACUGUUUAACAAAAAAAUCUUAAAACUUUGCAAAUUCUAAAGAAGACGUAUAAGGUUUGAUGCCUGCCCAGUGCUUGAAAGCGAAAAAUAGAUGUUAAUGCAUAUAUUAUAAACCCAAGUAAACGGCGGUCUUAACUAUAAGGAUCCUCAGGUAGCGAAAUUCCUUGGCGGGUAAAUUCCGUCCUGCAUGAAUGGCAUCACGACUACCCCACUGUCUCUAGUAUAACCUCAGCGAAAUUACAUUGUCUGUGAAAAUGCAGACAUCCUACAACAAGACGGAAAGACCCUAUGAUUCUUAACUAUAAUUUUACAUCGUAAUAAUUUUGUACAUAGUACAGUAAAAGUAGGAGUAUAUUUAUACAACUUUGAAAAACUACUUUGUGUAUAGAAAAUUACUUACUAAAGAGGAAAUGUGUAAAAGUGGUAGUUUACUUGGGACGAGGACCUCCUAAACUGUAACGGAGGUGCACAAAAGUAAAUUUUAAUUAGUUAUUUACACUAAUGUAACACGUAAUGGUAAAAGUUUGCUUGACGGUAAGAAUUACAAUUCAAACUGAGACGAAAGUCAGUCAUAAUGAUCCGGCAGUAACGUAUGGAAGUACUGUCGCUUAUCGGAAAAAAGAAACUCUAGGGAUAACAGAUUUAUCAUGGUUGAGAGUUCUUAUCGAUGCCAUGGUUUGAUACCUCGAUGUCGGGUGCGAUUCGUUGCUAGUAAGAGAAGAGAUGUACUUCUCAUAAAUAGCUAAUAAAAGUUACCUUUUAUUAAACUAAUACUAUAGAUAGGAAGCAAGUUCGUAAGAAUUUGUGGGCCUAUGCAUUGUCUCCAGAUGCUGAUCAAUGAGCUGUUUUACAAGCAGUGAACCCUAUGAGAUACAUUAAUAACAAAUGUAAAUUAGAAGCAGGGCAUGAAUUUGUGAAUUGUUCACUUAUAGAACAACAAACACAAAAAGAAUAUUUAUGUAGUAAAUCUACCAAGAGAAGUCAAUAAUGUCGAUUAUUAUAUGUAUGUAAUUUUAUGUAUAUAUCCGUAAUAAAAUUUCCUAAACCGAGGAUAGUGGGGGAUAAUUAUAAGUAAAACCACCCCGCUAACACGAAAUAGCGUGAAUUCUAAACAUAAGGUGUGAAUCAAUUACGACAUUUGGUUCGGAGUACCAGUUUUAGAGGGAAUAGAGGGACUUACUAAAUAAAUGUAUAUAGUAUUGGAACGAAGUAACUAUAAUUGUGAACCGAAUAAUUUUCUUUUAAGUUUAACUGGGCAUAUGUUGUUAUGUUAAUGCAUAAUUAUAGCAGGAUUCUACAAGAAGCCAACGCCAUAAGGAAAGCUUAUGGAUAUGCAGACGUGUAGACGAGUCAGAUCAAAAUAAAUAUCACUUUAAAAUAAGUAUAAUAACAAACCUAAAAAAUCAUGAAAUGAAAUAACAUUGUGUGAAAAGAUAAAGAAAUUUGACUAUAUAAAUUUCAAAGAAAGAUAUUUAAUCUAAGUAAAAUGGGUGAUAUGAAAACUGUUUUUUUCAUACAAAAACAACUCAUAGAGCACGAAAAUGCGAAAUUUUUAGCAGUGAGAAAAGUGACUCAAGACAAUUUGGGGAAGCGGACCGCUGGAGUAGAUGGAAUUUUUUUAUUAACUCCAGACGAAAGAAUGAAUUUAGUAAAAAAUAUAAAAAUUGAUCAACAUUCGGAUAAGAUUUUGAGGGUAACUAUACCAAAACCGAAUGGUUCUGUAAGAAAUCUAGGUAUACCUACCAUAAGAGAUCGCGCUAAGCAAUGCCUUGUAAAAUUUGCACUCGAGCCACAGUAUGAAGCGUUUUUUUGAACCAAACAGUUACGGGUUCAGGCCUGGUAGAAGCGCUAAUGACGCGAGAAAGGCUAUUGUCAAAUGUUUACAAAGAAAACCUAAAUAUGUUUUAGAUGCUGAUAUUAAAGGCUGCUUUGAUAAUAUUAAUCAUUCUAAGUUACUUGAAAAGCUGGAAACUUUUCCUUUACUAAAAGAACAAAUUUCUGCUUGAUUAGUAGCGGGUAUUUUGAAUAAUUUUCAAGGUAAUGCAACAGAAAUUAUACCAGAAUCUGGAACUCCACAAGGGGGUAUUAUAUCACCUUUGUUGGCAAAUAUUGCUUUACAUGGAAUGGAAAAGUUAAUAAGUAAAAGAGGAGUAUAUAUUGUUAGAUACGCAGAUGAUUUUUUAGUAUUAUGCAACGAAGAAAAUGAGUUAUUAAAAGCUAGACAGAAAAUAGAAAUAUUUUUAGCUUAUAUGGGAUUGGAAUUAUCCAAAGAGAAAACUAAAAUAACAUAUACUGCCUAUCUUCCUCCAAAAGAAAAUAGUGGUAUAGAUUUCUUAGGUUUUAAUUUUGUCAACUACAAAGUAGGUAUACAUAAAUCCGCCAAAGAUAGCCACGGAAACUUAACUGGCUGAAUGUGUAGGAAUCAACCUAGCAUUAAAUCAAUUAAUAAACAUUUAGAUAAUAUUAAAAAUAUUACUAAAAUGUCAAGUGGUUUGUCUCAAAAAAUUUUAAUUAGUAAACUGGCACCUGUUAUUAUUGGGUGGACUAGAUAUUUUGCAGUAUGCAACGCGACAAAAACUUUCAGCUUUUGCAGCAUGCGUACAUUUUAUCUUUUAAAGAAAUGAUCUCAAAAGAAGAAUCGAUCAGGAGUUGGUGGGUCAAAGCACUGAAUCCAAACUGAUUCGGCCAAUUGGGUUUUCGGAUUGACAGAAGAAGACAAAAUUAUAAAAUUGAAUAGACAUGAUCAAACAAAUAUAAUUGUAUCUACUAAAGUAUAUCAAGAUAGCAGUCCGUAUGAUGGUAGAGUUAUCUAUUGAGCUAAAAGACUAUCUUCAAAUAACAAAUACGGUCAGCUGUUAAGAACUCUUUUAAAAAUUAAAGGACCUAAAUGUAGUAUGUGCAAAAUAUAUUCUAACGACUCCGAUAGAAUAGAAAUAGACCAUAUUACACCAAGAAAACAAGGAGGAACCUCACAUUGAGCUAAUCUACGUCCUCUGCAUGGUCAUUGUCAUGACACGCACCAUUCCAAAAAAGAGUAACGAAUUCAAUUUGUGUCAUGAAAACAUUUUAUUUAAUAAACAAUUAGUUGUUAAUAAUCAGAUUCGAGGAGCCGUAUGAAGGGUGACUUUCAUGUACGGUUCUGGAGUGGCAGGGAACUUUGUGAAAAGUAUUCUGACCAUAACCUCAUCUUUUCCUGGAGCUGUAACAGGUUCCAAGGGUAUGGUUGUUCGCCAAAUAAUAAGAUACGUGAGCUGGGUUCAGAACGUCGUGAGACAGUUCGGUCCCUAUCUGUUGUGGGUAAGAAAAAAAAAAGAUUUAUCUUUAGUACGAGAGGAUUAAGAUAUAUUAACCAAUAGUGUAUCGGUUGUAUUGUUUUUUGCAUCGCCGAGUAGCCACGUUAACAUUAUAUAAGUGCUGACAGCUUAAAAGCGCAAAAAAAAUCUUCCUUUUUUUCUGGAACAUUCUAGAAGAUUACUAGAUAGAUCGGCUUACUAUUUAAUACUUGUAAGAGUAAGUAAGUAAAUACGAAAAGUUCAUUAUAAUUUAUACUAUAUUUAAGAACGGGUUUUAUCCCGUUCUUAAAUA